AAGGAUAAGGAACACGUUGGUUAAGUCUUAUUUAGUUUUGAGAGGUCUUGCAAGACGCAGAGACAAACUGUGGGGCCUUAGCUCAGCUGGGAGAGCGCCUGCUUUGCACGCAGGAGGUCAGCGGUUCGAUCCCGCUAGGCUCCAUAGGAUACAGUUCAACUGAACUUAAUAGAAGUGAAGUUUCAUUGUAUCUUAGUAUAGUCCAUUGAAAAUUGAAUAUCUAUAUCAAAUUCCACGAUCAUGAAAAUGAUUGUAGAAAAGUAACAAGAAAUAAACCGAAAAAAAACGAUAAACGCGAACAUAUUAAAAAAAAUCAAGAAGGUCUAAGGACUGGAAAUAA
rnacentral:tRNA from 1 species